CUGGCGGCAGGCCUAACACAUGCAAGUCGAGCGCGCCUUCGGGCGAGCGGCGGACGGGUUAGUAACGCGUGGGAACGUGCCCAGAUCUACGGAAUAGCCACUGGAAACGGUGAGUAAUACCGUAUACGCCCUUCGGGGGAAAGAUUUAUCGGAUUUGGAUCGGCCCGCGUUAGAUUAGGUAGUUGGUGGGGUAACGGCCUACCAAGCCUACGAUCUAUAGCUGGUUUUAGAGGAUGAUCAGCAACACUGGGACUGAGACACGGCCCAGACUCCUACGGGAGGCAGCAGUGGGGAAUCUUGGACAAUGGGGGCAACCCUGAUCCAGCCAUGCCGCGUGAGUGAAGAAGGCCCUAGGGUCGUAAAACUCUUUCGCCUGUGAUGAUAAUGACAGUAGCAGGUAAAGAAA
rnacentral:rRNA from 1 species